AAAACUCCCAAAGUCACUUUCUGUGUUCCUGGCAUGAUAUCACAUUCCUCCCCUUCAGCCACCUGACUUGCAUUCCACUGAAAUCACUCUAAGGAUUUGCUAGAUCGUUCCAGAAAAUGUACUAAAAGUCGAUGAUAAGGAAAUCCAAGCCAGAUGUGGGGGCUCGCCUGCGUGCCCAGCACUUGGGAGGCUGAGACGGGAGAAUUGCUGUGAGUUCCAGUCUGGGCUACAUAGUGAGUCAAGGCCAGCCUGAACCACAAAGUGAGGCCCUGUCUUAAACAACCAACCAACCAACCUAAAGGAAAUCCGAUCGCAAAUUCCUAAAAGGAAGCUGAUAUUGCCAAAAUGGAGUAAAAAAGAAGUGUCCUGAUCAGUUUACCAAUUGAAAAAGGAAAUGCAUUAUGAUAUAGGCUACCAUUCUUUGCUGUAAGUUUCUCGGUUCAGCUCAAAUGAAGUCUCAGGCUCCUCCUACAUCCCAGUACCUAGGUGGGCAAAGCCAGCAGAAUGACCUAGAUUGGUGAGAAGAAGUCUCUUUGGCAUCUCUGGGCUCUCUGAUGUGAGUUUAAUGCUCAGUAUCCAACCAGCCAAUCCUCUGUCCAACCUGCAGACAGAAACUAGGUCUAAAUUGUCUACUGCAUGGGUUCAGGAACAAUUUCCAUCUGGGCCUCUCUUUUCUUCAUAUGGAAAGCACCUACUGCCACGUGACUGUUGAGAGCAGGAAUUCCAAGGCUUUGGCUAUAUGACGUCGUGAUGUCUCUGGAGGAAAAUUAGAAUCAAGAGACUUGAAUUUGAGUCCCAUAUCUGUUGGUUACCAACUGAGGGUCACCUGGAUUUUCCUAUAAAACAUUAACAACAAAUAAUACAUACUUCAUGAGGAUGAUUGUGGGAUUAAAGAAACUGAUGACAACCUCAGCCGAAGAAUGCAAAGCCGCCAGAAACUGGGGAGGUAUAAAUGAGUAAAGCAGUACAAGAAAUACUUAGGCUAAUUUGGAGCCAGUGACGCAGCCUUUGACAAAUUUGUGAUUUUCUGUCCUGCUAAAGAGGCAGCUGUUCUAUUCAGCUUCAGCCAGUUUUUGCAUUGGAAAAAAUGCAGACCUGGUGUUGCCAGAUUUUUGGGGAAGCUGGAAAUCCGGACUUUUAUGUGAAACCUCCCAAUUUUUAGUUUUUGGCAAUUAAUUCAGAUUUAAAGGAUUGCGUAGCCAAAGAAAACACAUCUGCAGGCCACAUACACUCCAGGAAGCCUCUCGCUGUGACUUCUGAUAUAUGUGAACAUGUUUGUAAUAGAACCCACCUCAUUAUAAGUAUGCCAUAAAUAUUUGCCUCAUCUUUCCUUGUGAUAACCAACAUGAGAAAAGAAAAAUAAUUGAUUUGAGGUUUUUGGAAAGUUAUCACAUUACUUACUCUUAAGGAUCUGAUUUGUUAUGUAAGUCGUGUACUAACUUGUUUAGCCUUAUCCACUGUUAUGUUAAAAUACUUAACUUGGAUAUAGAUUGUACUUUGGAAAAUUUAAUUGGGUCCUCCGAUUUUGUAGCAGAAGUUUAAGGUUUGUUAGAAGACAUAUACUUAAAAUAUAGACAGUUCUGCAUCACAGCAAGGAAACUACAUUUUUUUCAAUUUUCAAAAAAAUUAAGCAAAAGCUA